rnacentral:rRNA from 1 species
GACGUAGGGCGCGAGCGUUGUCCGGAUUUAUUGGGCGUAAAGAGCUCGUAGGCGGCUUGUUGCGUCGACCGUGAAAACCCGGGGCUCAACUUCGGGCUUGCGGUCGAUACGGGCGGGCUAGAGUUCGGUAGGGGAGACUGGAAUUCCUGGUGUAGAGGUGAAAUUCGUAGAUAUCGGGAGGAACACCAGUGGCGAAGGCGGCGAUCUGGGAAGAUACUGACGCUGAGGCGCGAAAGCGUGGGGAGCAAACAGG